GCCAGCAUGGUGUAAUGGUUUAGGCAUUAGACUUCAGUUCUGGAGACCAAGGUUCAAGUCCCUGCUUGGCC